GACGAACCGUGCGAACGUUAUUCGGAAUCACUGGGCUUAAAGCGCGUGUAGGCGGGACGGCACGUCGGUCGCUGAAAUCCCCCCGGCUUAACCGGGGAACUGGCGUCGAUACGACCGCCCUGGAGGGCGUAGGGGGACCUGGAACUUCCGGUGGAGCGGUGAAAUGCGUUGAGAUCGGAAGGAACGCCCGUGGCGAAAGCGAGGUCCUGGACGCCUACUGACGCUGAGACGCGAAAGCCAGGGGGAGCGGAAACGGG
rnacentral:rRNA from 1 species